rnacentral:misc_RNA from 1 species
UUAAGUUCAGCGGGUAUCCCUACCUGAUCCGAGGUCAACCGUGAUAUGUGUGGGUUGCUGGCGGGCGCGCGCCGGGUCCCUAUAGCGAGGAGUAUUACUACGCUCAGGGCCAGACGGCACCGCCACUGACUUUAGGGGCCGCUCGCGGCGGGCCCCAACACCAAGCAGAGCUUGAGGGUUGUCAUGACGCUCGGACAGGC